GGAAAAGAAAUCAACCGAGAUUCCCCCAGUAGCGGCGAGCGAACGGGGAGCAGCCCAGAGCCUGAAUCAGUAUGUGUGUUAGUGGAAGCGUCUGGAAAGGCGCGCGAUACAGGGUGACAGCCCCGUACACAAAAAUGCACAUGCUGUGAGCUCGAUGAGUAGGGCGGGACACGUGGUAUCCUGUCUGAAUAUGGGGGGACCAUCCUCCAAGGCUAAAUACUCCUGACUGACCGAUAGUGAACCAGUACCGUGAGGGAAAGGCGAAAAGAACCCCGGCGAGGGGAGUGAAAAAGAACCUGAAACCGUGUACGUACAAGCAGUGGGAGCACGCUUAGGCGUGUGACUGCGUACCUUUUGUAUAAUGGGUCAGCGACUUAUAUUCUGUAGCAAGGUUAACCGAAUAGGGGAGCCGAAGGGAAACCGAGUCUUAACUGGGCGUUAAGUUGCAGGGUAUAGACCCGAAACCCGGUGAUCUAGCCAUGGGCAGGUUGAAGGUUGGGUAACACUAACUGGAGGACCGAACCGACUAAUGUUGAAAAAUUAGCGGAUGACUUGUGGCUGGGGGUGAAAGGCCAAUCAAACCGGGAGAUAGCUGGUUCUCCCCGAAAGCUAUUUAGGUAGCGCCUCGUGAAUUCAUCUCCGGGGGUAGAGCACUGUUUCGGCAAGGGGGUCAUCCCGACUUACCAACCCGAUGCAAACUGCGAAUACCGGAGAAUGUUAUCACGGGAGACACACGGCGGGUGCUAACGUCCGUCGUGAAGAGGGAAACAACCCAGACCGCCAGCUAAGGUCCCAAAGUCAUGGUUAAGUGGGAAACGAUGUGGGAAGGCCCAGACAGCCAGGAUGUUGGCUUAGAAGCAGCCAUCAUUUAAAGAAAGCGUAAUAGCUCACUGGUCGAGUCGGCCUGCGCGGAAGAUGUAACGGGGCUAAACCAUGCACCGAAGCUGCGGCAGCGACGCUGAUGCGUUGUUGGGUAGGGGAGCGUUCUGUAAGCCUGCGAAGGUGUGCUGUGAGGCAUGCUGGAGGUAUCAGAAGUGCGAAUGCUGACAUAAGUAACGAUAAAGCGGGUGAAAAGCCCGCUCGCCGGAAGACCAAGGGUUCCUGUCCAACGUUAAUCGGGGCAGGGUGAGUCGACCCCUAAGGCGAGGCCGAAAGGCGUAGUCGAUGGGAAACAGGUUAAUAUUCCUGUACUUGGUGUUACUGCGAAGGGGGGACGGAGAAGGCUAUGUUGGCCGGGCGACGGUUGUCCCGGUUUAAGCGUGUAGGCUGGUUUUCCAGGCAAAUCCGGAAAAUCAAGGCUGAGGCGUGAUGACGAGGCACUGCGGUGCUGAAGCAACAAAUGCCCUGCUUCCAGGAAAAGCCUCUAAGCAUCAGGUAACAUCAAAUCGUACCCCAAACCGACACAGGUGGUCAGGUAGAGAAUACCAAGGCGCUUGAGAGAACUCGGGUGAAGGAACUAGGCAAAAUGGUGCCGUAACUUCGGGAGAAGGCACGCUGAUAUGUAGGUGAAGUCCCUCGCGGAUGGAGCUGAAAUCAGUCGAAGAUACCAGCUGGCUGCAACUGUUUAUUAAAAACACAGCACUGUGCAAACACGAAAGUGGACGUAUACGGUGUGACGCCUGCCCGGUGCCGGAAGGUUAAUUGAUGGGGU
rnacentral:rRNA from 1 species